GCUCUUCCACUUGUCCUCAGCAUCUCCAGGAUUCCCACCAACCUCCAGCCAUGAAGAUCUUCUGCCUCCUCUCUGUUGCCGUCCUCUUCUUGAUGCUGCUGGCUCCAGAUUUCACCGGAGCUCAACGUCCUACCCAGGAUUGCCAGAACAAUGGGGGCAGCUGCAGAAAAACCUGCAACAAAGGCGA